rnacentral:rRNA from 1 species
AGUGAACGCUGGCGGUAGGCCUAACACAUGCAAGUCGAACGGCAGCACAGUAAGAGCUUGCUCUUACGGGUGGCGAGUGGCGGACGGGUGAGGAAUACAUCGGAAUCUACUUUUUCGUGGGGGAUAAAGUAGGGACACUUACGCUAAUACCGCAUACGCCCUACGGGUGAAAGCAGGGGAUCUUCGGACCUUGCGCGAUUGAAUGAGCCGAUGUCGGAUUAGCUAGUUGGCGGGGUAAAGGCCCACCAAGGCGACGAUCCGUAGCUGGUCUGAGAGGAUGAUCAGCCACACUGGAACUGAGACACGGUCCAGACUCCUGCGGGAGGCAGCAGUGGGGAAUAUUGGACAAUGGGCGCAAGCCUGAUCCAGCCAUACCGCGUGGGUGAAGAAGGCCUUCGGGUUGUAAAGCCCUUUUGUUGGGAAAGAAAAGCAGCAGGUUAAUACCCCGCUGUUCUGACGUUACCCAAAGAAUAAGCACCGGCUAACUUCGUG